CCUACGGGAGGCAGCAGUGAGGAAUAUUGCGCAAUGGAGGCAACUCUGACGCAGCAACGCCGCGUGCGGGAUGACGCUCUUAGGAGUGUAAACCGCUGUUAGCAGGGACGAAUGGAGUGCAGAAGAAAAGCUGCACAGAUGACGGUACCUGCAGAGGAAGCCCCGGCUAACUCCGUGCCAGCAGCCGCGGUAAUACGGAGGGGGCGAGCGUUGUCCGGAAUUAUUGGGCGUAAAGGGCGCGUAGGCGGGCUGAUCAGUCUGUGGUGAAAGUGUGCGGCUCAACCGUAGAAUUGCCUCAGAUACUGUUGGUCUUGAGUUCGGGAGAGGGAAGUGGAAUUCCUGGUGUAGCGGUGAAAUGCGUAGAUAUCAGGAAGAACACCGGUGGCGAAGGCGGCUUUCUGGUCCGAAACUGACGCUGAGGCGCGAAAGUGUGGGUAGCGAACAGGAUUAGAUACCCUGGUAGUCCACACAGUAAACGAUGGAUACUAGGUGUUGGAUGGCAACGUUCAGCGCCGGAGCAAACGCAUUAAGUAUCCCGCCUGGGGAGUACGGUCGCAAGAUUGAAACUUAAAGGAAUUGACG
rnacentral:rRNA from 1 species